CUCUCCAUCUUCCCUCUCUUCUUCUUCUUCGUCUUCUUUUCUUCUCUUCUCCCUCUUCUUCCUAAUCUCUUCUUUUCCCUCCUCUUCUUCUUUUCUUCUCUUCUCCCUCAACUUCUCUUCUUCUUCUCCCCACGCCCCACCGCUUCUCUCUGUUUCUCGAAGAAACAGAGACGAGAAACAGAGAGAGCGUGGGAGGCGGUGGGAUAAAACCGAAAUUUUCGGUUUUCUUUAUUUUUUUUUUCUUUUUGCAACUUAACAGUUUAGUCCUUGAAAUUUCUAUAUUUACAUGUAGGUCCUCCAAUUUACA
rnacentral:lncRNA from 1 species